ACAGCUUCCGGGAAAACUUCCCAAAGCAAGGGGUUCACCAGAAUUGCACAUGACCAUGAUCACGUUGGCCACAGGGAACUGCUGAGAAUGUUUCUCUCCACCUGGUUUUCUUGACCUCAGCAGAUGUGAAUGGCUUCUGUCUGUCUGACUCACCCUAAGCCUGACCUAUUUGUGAAAUGCUUUCUCUACAAAAAAGCUAGAGAUAAGUGCAGAGAAUUAUACAUUUAUAAUCCCAGUAGAGACAGAGUUGCCUAACCCUCUUAUUUCAGCUGCUCCCUGCCUUGCCAGUGCUAGGUGCAAGCUGACCAAAUGUUGGAACUUCUACAGGAUGAAUGAACCACCUGUGAGGUGACAUGGAACAACUCAUUUGGAACAACCGAUUCGUGCCUCAGGUUUCUCUUAUGGAAAAUGGGGCUAAUAAUAGUAUUCACAUCAUAAGAUUGUUGUAGUGAGAAGAAAAUGUGAGUAAUACAUGUAAAGUGCUUAGAACAGGAAUUGGCAUGAAUAAAUGCUCAAUAAGUGUUAGCUACUCUUGUUUUAUGUCAUUAUUUCAAGAGUAUAACUUUUCUCCUUUCCUUUUGGUAUCAUGGAUCUGAUGAAAAAUAGGUUGCAACCUGUAGGUCAAGUUCAACCAAUUGGUUGUAGCUACCUAGAGAGCUGUGUUGAGAAGGAUUCUGAGGCUGCAUCAAGCUCAUUUAAGGGGAAAUUAUAUAGUGUCCUAUGAGUGUUACUAUGAGUACCAUCUCUGCUACUGCAUGUGGUAAUGGGGAGUGGUGGCAUUGGUGCCACAUCAUUUCCAUUCCUGUAUUGUAUUUUGUCUUGUUGUAAGGUUUGUUUUUCCCUGCCUCUGUCUCAGCCCCCCCCUCCCCAUCUGCCUUUGCCUUUGUAGGGCAUCCUGGUCCUUGAAUGGGCUUGGAUGCCAAUCGCUGCUCUGUAGAAUCUGCAGUCCAUUCCAAGUAAGAACCUUCUGAGAUGAUGAUGAUGAUGAUAAUGAUGAUUUUGGAGAGAGCAAAGACCACAUGGCCUGAUACUGAGGAUGCUGCUAGGCUGUGAAGCACCCACAGGAUCCUUUGUGUGCCAAUCAAGGGCACCCUUAGAGAAACCAGGAAGAUCUUCACUGAGCAGGUUAAUCUUUGUGACCCCUAUGGUUCUGGAAUCAGAACACUAAUGAUUAGCACAGAAACUUCCCCACAGUCUCAGUAAUCAUUGACUUAUUAAUCCAUGCAGUUCAGGACCUUGUGCUGAGUUAUCUCUAUUUCCAUUCAGUGGUCAGUCUUUUCUGUCUGGACACAGGACCACUGUGGUCAGGUCAUCCAGUGGCACUGCCAUGGCCAUCCUGGUUUGCCGAGUGCCAUUCUGCUAACUUUUGUGAGCUGUGCUCUGUCUUGAGUCAGACACCUGAUUUGAAUUUCUUGCUCCACCAAUUACUAGCCUUAUCAUUUGGGUAAGCUGCUUAAACUCUCAAAGCCUCACUUUCCUUGUCUAUAAAAUGGGAGGAAUGACAGUUCCACCUCAUCAGGUUGCUGUGAGGCCUAAUGAAAGCAUGCAUUGUAAGUGCUUGGUAUGUGCCUCACCCAUAUUAAGCAUGCUGAAAUCGAUAGCUCUUGUUUUCCUAACUCAAUCAGAAAGCUCGUUAAGUGAUAUGACAUAAAAAUAAUGGUUCAUAUGUGUAUGGCACUUUCACAUUCAUUAUGCUGGGCAUAGAGCAAAUGCUCAAUGAGGAUUAGCUACAAUUAUUAUCAUUAAAAACAACAUUGACAACGACAGCUCAACUUAAGCUGCUAGGAAGGGUGAGAUAAUCAUCCAAGUCCUAGAUUAGGCUUCUUAAUCUGGUGCUCCUGGACCCGUUGGUGGUCUAGGGAUAGAAUUUAUGGGGUUUGUGACUGUGGAUGAGAAAAAAACAUUAGACCUUUAUUUCCACUGACCUCUAACUGAAAUUUAGAAUUAA